rnacentral:rRNA from 1 species
CAGUCGCCGCGGGAAUACGAAGGGGGCUAGCGUCGUUCGGAUUUACUGGGCGUAAAGGGCGCGUAGGCGGACUGAUAAGUCAGGGGUGAAAUCCCAAGGCUCAACCUUGGAACUGCCUUUGAUACUGUUUGUCUUGAGUUCGAGAGAGGUAAGUGGAACUGCGAGUGUAGAGGUGAAAUUCGUAGAUAUUCGCAAGAACACCAGUGGCGAAGGCGGCUUACUGGCUCGAAACUGACGCUGAGGCGCGAAAGCGUGGGGAGCAAACAGGAUUAGAUACCCCUGUAGUCCCUGUCUCUUAUAC